AACCAACUCGUUUGGAGUAGGUCCUAGAAGUAGACAAUCCGACGCCUAUACUACACGAUAUGGACCUCCAACCCACCCACCCACUCACGUGGGAGGAGGGUACGGGAGUGUGGGUGAUUUAACCAUUACCUGGAUGCCUCUAGAAGAUUAUCAGCUAGGAGGGCCUGGUAUUGGAUAUCAUGUAUACUACCGAAGGAAUCUUACAGAUACUUGGACCAACAAGGUUCAACUGACUGGAAAUGUCGGAAAAUAUGUGACUCAAGUAGGGGCGUACAAUUACUACCUGUUGUAUGACGUCAUGAUACAACCAUACAAUGACUUAGGCCAAGGACCAAACUCUAGUGUCAGUACGAUCUACUCUGCAGAAGAAAUUCCAUCUAUUUCAAUCACAAACGUACAAGCUUACCCGUACAACGCCACUGCUCUGAUGGUAACCUGGGACCCCGUGCCCGACACUCGCGAGGUUAUGAAAGGGAAGCUGCUUGGAUACCAGGUAAACUAUUGGGAGAGAUUCACCGAGGACCCUAUUAUGAACUCCAUCAGCUGGCGCGGGCAAAUGAGUAGCGGUUUAGUGAUUGGUCUGUUGCCAGACACGUGGUACACCGUGAACCUGCAAGCACUGAACAUGGCGGGAAUGAGUCAAAUAAGCGAAACGGACUUUCAGCUAACCUUAAAAAUGGCGCCCCGCAUGUAUCCAACAGAAAUCCAUGUAGGAUCUCACGGCUCCCAAAGCGUGUUUGUCACGUGGCGCGGGGUCACUACAGGCAUUGAAGAAGAACCAAUCCAAGGAUACCUAGUGAGUGAUAGAAACGCAAUUGCAGAAUUUUAAUGAAUAAGAUGGAAGCAAUCAAACAAACGCAUUAGUUUAAAAUACCAAAUUCUAAAACUCCCAUACAAGAAUUAAUGACUCAUUAAACAGGUCAAGCAAAAUUGUGAACAAUAUGGCAAGUUCAUUAUGGUCUUUAAUUUAAAAAUUGUUUGUUUCAAUUGUGUUUACAUAACGAUCACUAGUAUGAAAUCAUGGUUACUAGAUGUGUCCUUAAUUUCCAAUCGCAUAUAAAGUCGUAAUCAAACUGAUAAUCAAUCAGGCAUAGUAUUUAUUUAAAUCAAAAUCUAUCAUACCGUAUAUUAAAGAUUCAAUACAAAAACAACUGCACCUACAAAACGAUGCAUAUUGUUACAUAUAAAACCUUCAUCCACGUUCGUUGAAUGCUAUACAGAAGUUGUGUAGUUACAUACAAAUGUAUAAAACAUAAUUUACAAGCACACGUGUAUACUACACGUAACCUUCUACAACACGUCUUCACAGCUACGCUACUGGUUUGACGGUGACGACAUUCGAACCGCGUCCGAUGUGCGUGUGGGCAAGCAGGACCAGGCGGUGAUCUACGGCAUCCAGAAGAACUACCUGUACUGUCUGCGCGUGCUGGGAUUCAGCACGGGAGGGGACGGGACCAUGAGUGAACUUGUCUACUUCACACUGGGUGGACGGAUUGCGGCAGUGGAUCAAUCUUUGACCGAGGUCAAGGCCACAGCCAGUCAUCUGACUGUCUGCCACUACACCAUUCUAUCAUUAUGCAUAAUACAAGCAAUUUUAAGAUUAACAUAUCAAUAGUAAUCACCUUCUACUCAACGCACAAGAAGUCAAACUGAACAAACGAAGACAUGUUACGCUUCCAGUGUUUAAGUUCAUUAUCAUCAAGUAGCAGUAGAUUUCACUUUUGGUCCCACGCUAAAAAUGUUGAUCCUCUAUACUUUAUUCAAUUGUAAUUGCAUCAUUGUCAGCUUUCAUCUAGCACUGUAAUCAUCUAUCAGUCACAUACAUGUACAUAACACAGCCUUUUGUAAAUAACUUCCUCUGUAUCUUGUCAACUUUAAGACCAUGUACAUUCCAAACUAACUACAAGUAAGUUUUCACUCAAACAUCUGGCCUGUUAACUCACUUGAUAGUACACCUAGCUAUAGCUCGUUCUUUCAUUAGACACACACAGUGGUAGUGACCACUUUGUUUGAACGAGAUUCUCCCGACAUAAAAUCAUAGCUGUUUACAAAGUCCUCGUCAGUGUGGGGUGUUGUUGUGUGGAGAUCAGGGUGAAGGUCUAUAGAUCUAUCAUUUAUGUCCAAGUCAUUGUAAGUCGUGGUCAAAUCUGAAAUCAUUGUAUACAUCAACUCUUGUGUUUUUACUGACAAUAAAUAUUUUUUAAAU
rnacentral:misc_RNA from 1 species